UGGGGGAUAUUGCACAAUGGGCGAAAGCCUGAUGCAGCGACGCCGCGUGAGGGAAGACGGUCUUCGGAUUGUAAACCUCUGUCUUUGGGGAAGAAUAGAGACGGUACCCAAAGAGGAAGCUCCGGCUAACUACGUGCCAGCAGCCGCGGUAAUACGUAGGGAGCGAGCGUUGUCCGGAAUUACUGGGUGUAAAGGGAGCGUAGGCGGGCUUGUAAGUUGAAUGUCUAAUCCACCGGCUCAACCGGUGAUCGCGUUCAAAACUGCAGGUCUUGAGUGAAGUAGAGGCAGGCGGAAUUCCUAGUGUAGCGGUGAAAUGCGUAGAUAUUAGGAGGAACACCAGUGGCGAAGGCGGCCUGCUGGGCUUUAACUGACGCUGAGGCUCGAAAGCGUGGGGAGCAAACAGG
rnacentral:rRNA from 1 species